AUUGAACGCUGGCGGAAUGCUUUACACAUGCAAGUCGAACGGCAGCACGGGAGCUUGCUCCUGGUGGCGAGUGGCGAACGGGUGAGUAAUAUAUCGGAACGUAUCCAAUAAUGGGGGAUAACUAGUCGAAAGAUUAGCUAAUACCGCAUACGCCCUGAGGGGGAAAGCUGGGGAUCUUCGGACCUAGCGUUAAUGGAGCGGCCGAUAUCUGAUUAGCUAGUAGGUGAGGUAAAGGCUCACCUAGGCAUCGAUCAGUAGCUGGUCUGAGAGGACGACCAGCCACACUGGAACUGAGACACGGUCCAGACUCCUACGGGAGGCAGCAGUGGGGAAUUUUGGACAAUGGGCGCAAGCCUGAUCCAGCCAAUCCGCGUGAGUGAAGAAGGCCUC
rnacentral:rRNA from 1 species